AACGAACGCUGGCGGCAGGCUUAACACAUGCAAGUCGAGCGCCCCGCAAGGGGAGCGGCAGACGGGUGAGUAACGCGUGGGAAUCUACCCAUCUCUACGGAAUAACGCAUGGAAACGUGAGCUAAUACCGUAUACGUCCUUCGGGAGAAAGAUUUAUCGGAGAUGGAUGAGCCCGCGUUGGAUUAGCUAGUUGGUGGGGUAAAGGCCUACCAAGGCGACGAUCCAUAGCUGGUCUGAGAGGAUGAUCAGACACACUGGGACUGAGACACGGCCCAGACUCCUACGGGAGGCAGCAGUGGGGAAUAUUGGACAAUGGGCGCAAGCCUGAUCCAGCCAUGCCGCGUGAGUGAUGAAGGCCCUAGGGUUGUAAAGCUCUUUCACCGGUGAAGAUAAUGACGGUAACCGGAGAAGAAGCCCCGGCUAACUUCGUGCCAGCCGCCGCAGUAAUAC
rnacentral:rRNA from 1 species